UCGGGACAGGACAGGGGACAGA
rnacentral:miRNA from 1 species